rnacentral:ncRNA from 1 species
GUGAAAUAGUAUAGACGUACAAAAAAAAAAUAUUAUUUGAGUGAGAGAAUGGCGGGCUUAAAACACUUUACUUUUUAGAAUGUUGGUCCUUAUCUCAUUUAUUCGGAAUGGUGAGCCGUUAAUACAAGGAGUCUCGUCCUUUUAUUUCAUUCCGUUAGAAUGGCGGGACGGGUCUUUUCGGAUGAUCAACCACACUAGGACUGAAACACGGCCCGGACUCUCACAGGGGGCAGUAGUGGGGAAUCUUGGACAAUGGGCGAAAGCCCGAUCCAGCAAUAUCAC